UGGAUCGCUGGCUGGUAUGACACUACGACUUGAGGGGAUUAUCGGGCAAUGCUCACAUUAUAUGGACGGAGGUAUGGCGAAACCGUAAAUGACUAUAUCUCCUUGACGGUUUCAGAUCUGCACAGCAUCCUAGUCAGAAUCAGAAAAUAAAUAAAUCGAGAAACACUUCCCAUCUACACCGCUACAAAUCAACUGAUUAAUUUUACGAAGAAAUCAGUCGGGUAGCCAGCCGUCUAAUUCAUCCCAUGUAACCAUUGAAUGGAUCAACACGACUACACCCAUCUCCUCUCUUCACACCAAUCUGCUCCACCGGUUUCACGCUAGAAGCAUCGUCACCCAACUUAUAGUCGCCGCCACACAACAUCACCAGAAACUGUUGCAGCGACGCCGCUUGCCACAACGCUCGCGCC
rnacentral:lncRNA from 1 species